CCCAACCCAAUCUAGAAAAAAUAAAAUCAAUAAAAGAAAAGUGGAAGCAUCUAGACCAAAUUAGAAAUCUCACAAUUCCCCAUCUUCGCUUCAGUUGAAGCUUGUCGGAGACGAUGGUGGAACUUCGACGCCGAUUAGAUCGAGUUUUGGACAUCUCAAGAGCUUCAAGUUGUCACAAUAAUGGUGCCGCAGAGGACAUCAUUUCCAAUCACUAACAUUCAUCAGAUUAUCUUGCCAACAUUGGGAAAAGAAACCAAAUGUUCAAUUAGUUGAUUCUCUGCUUUGUAUGGUUAAGGCUCUUAUCACAAUGGAUAGAGAAGGCACACCAAACUUCAGGGUCAAACUUUGAAGGAAUCAAUUUGUUAUUAAUGAUAGAUGAUAAUGUACUUCCACUAGUCUUAACUACUUAUUUUAGCCUCAUUUUGUAUAGAUGAAUACUCUCAUUCUAAUAUGGAUAUUUAUAUUCAUUCUAACAACUCUCAUUUAUUAGUUA